GACGAACGCUGGCGGCGUGCUUAACACAUGCAAGUCGAACGAGACCCCUCCUUCGUGAUGGUGUCCUCGCGUCGCACGGGUGAGUAACACAUGUGCAACCUGCCCUCAGCUCUGGGAUAACUCCGGGAAACCGUGGCUAAUACCGGAUACGACCUCCCCGGCCGUCUGCUGGGGUGGGAAGUUUUUCGGCUGAGGAUGGUCCCCCGGCCUAUCAGCUAGUUGGUGGGGUAGUGGCCCACCAAGGCGACGACGGGUAGCCGGCCUGAGAGGGCGACCGGCCACACUGGGACUGAGACACGGCCCAGACUCCUACGGGAGGCAGCAGUGGGGAAUAUUGCGCAAUGGGCGAAAGCCUGACGCAGCGACGCCGCGUGAGGGACGAAGGCCUUCGGGUUGUAAACCGCUUUCAGCAGGGACGAAGCGAAAGUGACGGUACCGGGAGAAGAAGCACCGGCCAACUACGUG
rnacentral:rRNA from 1 species